rnacentral:misc_RNA from 1 species
AACAUCGCGCACCUGCGGGAACCUGCGGAAGGAUCAUUACAUGGCGGAGAAGGUGGGCACCUGGCAAACUCCAGGUUGUGAUGCCUUCACGCUCUUCCACCCUUGUCUAUUUGCACCUUCUGUCGUUCCCUCGGCGGGUUUCGACCCGCCGGCGGCAACAUUGAAAAACCUUUUUUGCAGUUAGCAUCCAGUUCUUCUGAUCAAAAUAUCAAAUCGUUACAACUUUUAACAAUGGAUCUC